GAUGAACGCUGGCGGCGUGCCUAAUACAUGCAAGUCGAGCGAACGGACGAGAAGCUUGCUUCUCUGAUGUUAGCGGCGGACGGGUGAGUAACACGUGGAUAACCUACCUAUAAGACUGGGAUAACUUCGGGAAACCGGAGCUAAUACCGGAUAAUAUUUUGAACCGCAUGGUUCAAAAGUGAAAGACGGUCUUGCUGUCACUUAUAGAUGGAUCCGCGCUGCAUUAGCUAGUUGGUAAGGUAACGGCUUACCAAGGCAACGAUGCAUAGCCGACCUGAGAGGGUGUUCGGCCACACUGGAACUGAGACACGGUCCAGACUCCUACGGGAGGCAGCAGUAGGGAAUCUUCCGCAAUGGGCGAAAGCCUGACGGAGCAACGCCGCGUGAGUGAUGAAGGUCUUCGGAUCGUAAAACUCUGUUAUUAGGGAAGAACAUAUGUGUAAGUAACUGUGCACACCUUGACGGUACCUAAUCAGAAAGCCACGGCUAACUACGUG
rnacentral:rRNA from 1 species